rnacentral:rRNA from 1 species
UUGGCCUUGACAUACUAAGAACUUUCCAGAGAUGGAUUGGUGCCUUCGGGAACUUUAGAUACAGGUGCUGCAUGGCUGUCGUCAGCUCGUGUCGUGAGAUGUUGGGUUAAGUCCGCAACGAGCGCAACCCUUUUCCUUAUUUGCCAGCGGGUAAUGCCGGGAACUUUAAGGAUACUGCCAGUGACAAACUGGAGGAAGGCGGGGACGACGUCAAGUCAUCAUGGCCCUUACGGCCAGGGCUACACACGUGCUACAAUGGUCGGUACAAAGGGUUGCUACCUCGCGAGAGGAUGCUAAUCUCAAAAAGCCGAUCGUAGUCCGGAUCGCAGUCUGCAACUCGACUGCGUGAAGUCGGAAUCGCUAGUAAUCGCGGAUCAGAAUGCCGCGGUGAAUACGUUCCCGGGCCUUGUACACACCGCCCGUCACACCAUGGGAGUUUGUUGCACCAGAAGUAGGUAGUCUAACCGCAAGGAGGACGCUUACCACGGUGUGGCCGAUGACUGGGGUGAAGUCGUAACAAGGUAGGCGUAGAUGA